rnacentral:rRNA from 1 species
GUGGGGAAUCUUGCGCAAUGGGCGAAAGCCUGACGCAGCCAUGCCGCGUGAAUGAUGAAGGUCUUAGGAUUGUAAAAUUCUUUCACCGGGGACGAUAAUGACGGUACCCGGAGAAGAAGCUCCGGCUAACUUCGUGCCAGCAGCCGCGGUAAUACGAAGGGGGCUAGCGUUGCUCGGAAUUACUGGGUGUAAAGGGCGCGUAGGCGGACAGCUUAGUCAGAGGUGAAAGCCCAGGGCUCAACCUUGGAAUUGCCUUUGAUACUGGCUGUCUUGAGUUUGGGAGAGGUGAGUGGAACUCCGAGUGUAGAGGUGAAAUUCGUAGAUAUUCGGAAGAACACCAGUGGCGAAGGCGACUCACUGGCCCAAUACUGACGCUGAGGCGCGAAAGCGUGGGGAGCAAACAGGAUUAGAAACCCCAGUAGUCC